GCCAGGUGUGGUGGCGUAUGCCUGUAAUCUCAGCUACUCAGGAGGCUGAGGCAGGAGAAUCGCUUGAACCCAGGAGGCAGAGGUUGCAGUGAGCCAAGAUUGCGCCACUGCGCUCCAGCCUGGGUGACAGAGUGAAACUCUGCCUCAA
rnacentral:SRP_RNA from 1 species